rnacentral:rRNA from 1 species
UACGUAGGGGGCAAGCGUUGUCCGGAUUUAUUGGGCGUAAAGAGCGUGUAGGCGGCCUGACAAGUCUGCUGUGAAAACUCGAGGCUCAACCCUCGAGAUGUCGGCGGAAACUGUCUGGCUAGAGUCCGGGAGAGGUGAGUGGAACUGCGAGUGUAGAGGUGAAAUUCGUAGAUAUUCGCAAGAACACCAGUGGCGAAGGCGGCUCACUGGCCCGGUACUGACGCUGAGGCGCGAAAGCGUGGGGAGCAAACAGG